UACAGAGGGUGCGAGCGUUAAUCGGAAUUACUGGGCGUAAAGCGUGCGUAGACGGUAGCGUAAGUCAGAUGUGAAAGCCCCGGGCUCAACCUGGGAACUGCAUUUGAGACUGCUCUGCUCGGGUGCGGAAGAGGGAAGCGGAAUUUCCGGUGUAGCGGUGAAAUGCGUAGAUAUCGGAAGGAACACCAGUGGCGAAAGCGGCUUCCUGGUCCGACACCGACGUUCGGGCACGAAAGCGUGGGGAGCAAACAGG
rnacentral:rRNA from 1 species